rnacentral:rRNA from 1 species
AUACCGUGAAACUGCGAAUGGCUCAUUAAAUCAGUUAUCGUUUAUUUGAUAGUACCUUACUACUUGGAUAACCGUGGUAAUUCUAGAGCUAAUACAUGCUGAAAACCCCGACUUCGGAAGGGGUGUAUUUAUUAGAUAAAAAACCAACGCCCUUCGGGGCUUCUUGGUGAUUCAUAAUAACUUUACGGAUCGCAUGGCCUUGCGCCGGCGACGGUUCAUUCAAAUUUCUGCCCUAUCAACUUUCGAUGGUAAGGUAUUGGCUUACCAUGGUUUCAACGGGUAACGGGGAAUUAGGGUUCGAUUCCGGAGAGGGAGCCUGAGAAACGGCUACCACAUCCAAGGAAGGCAGCAGGCGCGCAAAUUACCCAAUCCCGACACGGGGAGGUAGUGACAAUAAAUACUGAUACAGGGCUCUUUUGGGUCUUGUAAUUGGAAUGAGUACAAUUUAAACCUCUUAACGAGGAACAAUUGGAGGGCAAGUCUGGUGCCAGCAGCCGCGGUAAUUCCAGCUCCAAUAGCGUAUAUUAAAGUUGUUGCAGUUAAAAAGCUCGUAGUUGAAACUUGGGUCUGGCUGGCAGGUCCGCCUCACCGCGUGUACUUGUCCGGCCGGGCCUUCCUUCUGGAGAACCUCAUGCCCUUCACUGGGCGUGUUGGGGACCAGGACUUUUACUUUGAAAAAAUUAGAGUGUUCAAAGCAGGCCUUUGCUCGAAUACGUUAGCAUGGAAUAAUAGAAUAGGACGUGCGUUCCUAUUUUGUUGGUUUCUAGGAACGCCGUAAUGAUUAAUAGGGACAGUCGGGGGCAUCAGUAUUCAAUUGUCAGAGGUGAAAUUCUUGGAUUUAUUGAAGACUAACUACUGCGAAAGCAUUUGCCAAGGAUGUUUUCAUUAAUCAGUGAACGAAAGUUAGGGGAUCGAAGACGAUCAGAUACCGUCGUAGUCUUAACCGUAAACUAUGCCGACUAGGGAUCGGGCGAUGUUCUUUUUCUGACUCGCUCGGCACCUUACGAGAAAUCAAAGU